GGCCGCAGCGCCCCUCAGAGCCCGCUCCGGCCUCAGGGCCCGCUCCGGCCUCAGGGCCCGCUCCGCCCUCAGGGCCCGCUCCGCCCUCAGGGCCCGCUCCGGCCUCUGCCCUUUGCCCCCGGAACGCCGGAACCGGCUGCUGUUCGGUCUGCCAGCUGAACUUUCUCCCGGUACACUCUUGCAUGCUAGAAGAGACACUCCCUACUUCAGCUAUACCCAAGUUUUUAUCCAAAUACACGGGUCCCAGGACCUCUCCAAAGUUAAGUUCUCUUUAAACACACUGGGGAAUGUGCUGGCCCCUAUAAAUCCAAACAAAUGCAGUUCGGUGUCAGUGAAAGACCAGAAAAGUAACGCUGACGUGAUCUUGAAAGACGCAGGUGCUGGGCGUGAGGAGAGAAAUGUCAGGUUUUGGACAGGCAGCUGACCUAGAAAAGAGGCCUUUAGAGUUUGCAAGCUGAAGCACAAAACACCCCUGGUUUAUCUGCUGCAGGCUGUGAAAGCCCUGCCUUCCCUCUGAGAAAUGCUAAGCCCUGACUUUGAAUGGGAACCUGCAGAGAUUUUGGGCAUUGCUGCAGGGGCAAAUCCCACAAGCUGGUCUCUUUAACUGAAACUGUCACAGGCCUGCAGGCAUCUUCACUAACUCCCGGGAAAGCCUGCCAUUCCUGCAGCCACAUUCCCAGCCCACAGAUAUUUGUUUGUCUCCCUUGUGUGUACAACCCCUGCUCCUUUGCCUCCAGGCCUGCCCACAGGUCAGGCUGGCAGCCAGCUCUACAGCAGCAGCACCUCUCACUGGGGCACAGCCGUGGUCUCCCACUGAGCUCACACAGAGAUGGGGAGACAGAGGAUGGGAAGUGUUGGUGCACGAUGAUCUCUUUGUCUGUGCGGGCCAGGUCAGUGUCCUUGAGCAGUGACUUGCUUCAUCCUGGACUUUGGAGAGCGUAGUGAUACUGAAGUUGGCCAAAAAUAAACUACCAUAAUUUGAAGUAUUGCAAAGCAGGUAUGCUUUCCUGUAGCACUGGACUCCUCGAACUGAAUGAGUGUCAUGAAACACCCUUUACAACAGGGUAUUUAUUCCAUCUUGGUCAUACAUAUCCAUAGCAGCGUGCUUCCCAGCUACUACAUAAACGUCACUAUUCCUAGGGCUUACCUGCACGCAUCUGCCUCCUACUGGAAGUGCUUUCAUGGUCCUAGAGGGUCAUUGAAAGCUGGCUCUGGGAGUCAGACUCGCUGAGUGCUUCAAUAUUACAAGUGGCCUUCCCUUGAACUCUUUCUUUGGCCAUGUGCUCUCGUUGCUUGUUACGUACCUUGCCAAAACACCCACUAUGUUCCUCAUUAUCUGUUUAUCCACCUAUGUUUAUCGUCCUGUGUGCACGAUUUUACAUUCUUUUAUCUUUUUUUGCUACUUAGUCUUAAAGCUCUAUCUAGCACCUUCAGGGGAAAUGAAAAUUCCUUUUCUCUGUGUUCUGUAACUGCAGCUGAUGCCAGGGUGUGACCCACCCCUCCUUGGCCCGCGGUGGAUUGUAUGUGCAGUGUUCUGUUCAGGGGCUGCCACUCACCUGGCCGAAGGAGUGGUGGGGCUUGUGGAAGUCAAUGGAGAACAUGGUCCCGACGAACGGCAGCGAGGCUGGGCCUGGUGGGUAACGGCUCCACUUCUUUCUGCGCUUCAUGAAGUCAAGCAGUAAAGCAAACACUGUCAGAAAAACUCCCAGGACAGAGAUGUUGCUCCAGACGGAUGACAGCUGGGACAUCAGCCACAGGAGCAAUGCCAUUUUGUAGCCUGUCUACUCCUUGUUCUUCUUCUUUUGACCCAACACUGUCACUGCCAACUUUUGCCUUUCCUCUUCUCCUCUCUCACUUUCUUGCCCUGACAGCUGCCCCUUUCUCCUUGCUCCCUCCUCUUCCCUACACUGCCUUUUUCUGCUGCUCCCUUCUCCCUGCACUGGCUGGCUUUUGAUUGUGAAACUUGGCUCUCCCUCUAAGCUCCUCCUCUGCUCGGUUCAGCCUUCGGGGAGUGGUGAUGGGGGUCACCCCUCCUCCUUUCCUCCUCCCUCUCUUCUUUCCCCAAGGCCGGAGCUCAGAGGGCUCUGUUGCUGCUGAAAGUGUUGGCUGGUGCUGACAGUGCCCUCAGUGGGGCAGGGCUGGCUGAGCCCUGGCGUUUGAGUCCCUUCUCUCACAGACAAGGAGAAGUUCACAAGCAACCAGUCCUGCUGCAUUCUCAUGGGGCGAUUUAGAAAAAAGUUGUUUAAAUGUGAGUCACCUUCUUGUUAGUACGGGCAAGUCAAAAAAGAAGCAGCUCCUAAACCCAGAUCAUACAGGUUUUUGUUUGCAGGCUAAGAAGAGGUUCCAUUGGAACUUGAGGAAGUUCGGGUUAGAGCAAACAUUCCCUUACAGAAAGCACUUACUACAGAAAUUAGCGUAAAACACUGAGAUUUUAAAAAGAAUUUGUUUCUAGGAUUAAAAAUGUUUAACAAACUCCAAGUGUCAGUCAGCACAACAAUCUCGGCUUUUGUAGAAAACAGCUCAGGUGCAAGGAAGAAGUCACACUUAUUACGAGGUGCCUCAAAUAUCCAGCCUUUGGGGCAGCAGUAAUGCCAACACAGUUAUGGAGUUAGUCAAAGUAUUUCCUAAAGCAGCACAGCUGUGUGCUCCUGGCAUCCCUGCCCUCAGCAAUCAAUAAGCCUUGCCCUUAGGAGAGUCAGCUCUAGAUAAAAAGAAGCAGUAAACCCAUCAGAGCUUGAUCUGUGAUCUCAGCGUGAUCAGAGGAAAGACUCCUAAUGGAAGAGUUGCUGCAGCAGUGAUGGAGAGCUCAGGCUGCAAGGCAAUGCACCUGCAAAUCUGUGCAGGCAGCGCUGCUGUGCAGCCAGGGCCUCCAAUGGCCUUUCCUCUGCCAGGGGAGGCACCUCCAUGCUCAUUGUCUGUGUGCUGACCUUACCUUGCUGGAGUCUCCACAGCAGAAUCCUGUUUUGAAGGCAUCGUGACUCAGGGUUCGGGGUUUGUGUCAAGUAGUUUGAAACAAACAUGUGGAAUGGGAAACAACUGGGGGAAUGACCAGCUCCCACACCAGUGCAGUAUUGUGAUUUUUUUGAGUUACAGAGACAUGCCAGGGUGGUUCACACACCUGGAGAGCUGCCCCAAAGAGCACAGUGUCUUCAGGAAGCACCGGCUGGAAGCAGUGAUGAGAGGUGGUGUGCUGUGCAGAGGAGAGCCCAGAACUUGGCCAUGGCAGGGGUGGUGGGGCCAUCUGAGAGCCUGUGGACAAGGAGACGGUGGCAAAGUGCUAUGGGCAGUGCUGUGCCAGGCACUCACUGCAGACUUCUUGGGAAAGGAGACAAAGUCAACAGAGCCAUCCCAGACAAUCACAGGCCUUUGGGCUAACCCCCAGUGUGCCUUGACUGAAGGGCUGCGUGGUCAGGCACCACCUGGGAGGUUUCUCAAGGGUGCUCAACACAGCUUCAUGACACAGGUGAUUGAAAAGACAUCAGGAGGAGACGCUCUGCUCAGUUUGCUGUUCACAAAACAGGAAGACUUGAAUCAGGAUAUGAUGGUCAACAGUGAGUUUGCCUGAAGCAGCCAUGAAACUGUGAAAUAGUAAAUCCUGCAAAAACUCAGCAGUACCAACAGCAUUACUGCCCUUACCUGCAGGAGAACAGGUUUCAUUUCAUCCAGGGAUCUCCUUGACAGAAUCCCAAAGGGAGCUGCCCUGGAGAGUGAAGGGGCACAGGAGAGCUGGUUGCUCUUCGAGGGAAGACUCCUCAAAGCAUGAGAUCAGUGUAUCUCAUUUAUCUCCUGGACACUGUAAAGCUUUUAACACCAUUUUCCACAGUACCCUUUUGGCUAAAUCCAUGAUAUACAGACUGGCAGGGUAGCUGAUAAAGUGGGUGGAUGAUUGUUCAGAUUGUGGGGCUGAAAGAAGUGACAGAGUACAGACAGUGACAACAGUACAGAGUGCAGCUGGUGGAUGAUCACCAGUGAUGUCCCUUAGGUGUUUAUACUGGGGCUGAUAAAGUUGAGGUUAUUAACAACGUGGCUGAUGGGACAGAGAGCACUCUUGGCAAGUCUGGCCUGGGAGAGCUGCCAGAGCUGAACUCUGUGGUGUAGCCUGGGAGCUUGUUGGCUUUUGAGUGUGAGGUCUCAGGAGACAGAGCUGCAACAGUUCCCUACUCAGUGGGCUGGCUUGAGCAGGAGAUGGCUGAAUGGAAAAAGGUGAUCAAGGGCUUCCUCCCACUUAAAUAUUCAUGACCCAUGCACUCAAAUGACAGAGGAAAGAUGGGAAAUGUGGCCCCAAGAAUGCCAGUGGACAUUUCCUCAACACCCCACCAGUAAAAGGAUGUAACCUUGCCUGUUUCCCUUUAUUUUAAUCUUGACCCUAAUGAAUUUCUGCUGAAAAAUAUUUACCUAGGUCCUUUCAGUUUUGCUUACCCUGGCUAGAGCCAAAGGCUGUUGGACUCCCAUCAUUCACGUGUGGGCUCUAACAAGGAUAGUCGAUCAGAGUUCAGGAAGUGGAUUUAAUUCUAAUGAACAUCACCCUUCCAAUGGAAAGUCAUCAGAAUAGGAACUCUCCAGCUACUCUGCUUUGUCUGACUCAGCCUUGACAUAAAGUGACAGAGCCGCAACCUGAGAAAUGCAUCAGCUUAAGAAAAAAAACCCUACACUGACACUGACUUCCCAAUUGACAUCUUUCCAAAAGAUCAUUUGGUAAAUGAUCCUUUCCUGCAAACUUGACAGCUCCUCCACUUUUGGCUAGUAGCAUGGAUGGCCAGUCCUGCAGAGGAGUGGAGCAAGUGCUAUAGCUUCAUAAUUGCAAAAGAACCGUUUUCAAAGCCAGCAAGAAAACAAUAGACAACAAAUCUCUUUAUGACAGAGAGAAAGAGAAAAGGCUAAUUAUUCUUCUGAAGAAUAAAAGAUGUUCAUUUGCAUUUCUUUUCAAUAAAGUAAUAUUUUGAGCAACUUUCAAGUCAGGGAAAAAUCCCUCCAAAUCCAAACAUAUUAAUUUUAGCUAACUGCUGCCCUGCUGUGCUGGGUGCAUGUCUUUGUGCACAGUCAGUUUAGAGACUGUGGAGUCCUGUGGGUGGACAGGGAAGGUAUGCACACCCCUUCCCCAAGGGAAAACUCCUCAGGCCACAAGCUCAGGUUAGGGUGAGGCAAAAGGCUUCUCCCAGCAUGCCUUGCUGAGAUAUGCAGAUUCCAUGUCUCCCAUUGGCCCUUCCCCCUCACUCCACCCCUGGUCCCUCAUCCCAUUGGCCCUGGUGUUCUGCUCCGCCCCUCCCAAUCCCGAUCUAUGCCCCGCUUUCCCUGCCUGAGCGGCGCUGUGUCCCUGGACCCCUUUGGGGAAGAGGCUCAAUAAAGGCUCUCCUUGGAACCCCGCACAAAGACCCCGUCUGUCCUUCUGCGUCACCCAGAUCACAGAAGAGCUGAAAUCACCCAGCCUAGGCACAGACUGUGCCCCCACGGGGUCUUUUUCAAGACGCUUCUUUGGGAGGGUUGCGGCACUCUGAACAACAUCUGCCAUGGCAUGAGACGAGCUAAGUGGAAUUACAGAAGUUCCAUGCAGUUCCAUCACCAUUCUUUUAGUGAAAACACUGAAAUACAAACAGAAAGGCAGGUUUAAGAAAAAAUUUAUUAAUAUUGCAAAACAAAGCAUCCAGAAGCAAGAUAAUGCUGGGCUUACCUUUUUAAAAAUUUCUUUUAGGCAAUUUUAGUUGAGCCUUUUUGCCCAUAUUGUCCAUAAGAUCAUAUUUCAUUAUAAUCACAUGCUGUAUUUCCUUUUUGAAGGACCCUCCUUUUAUUCGGGGCACAGAAUAGAUGAUGAUCAUUUAUUAAUCUAGAUUUAAUAACAGCAUUUGUCUUCAAAGUCUAUUUUGCCACCUACUGUUCACACCCUGCCCACAAAGAUGGUUUAGAUGGGCUUUUCCAUAGUGGUCAUCAGUGGCUGCAUGGGUGAGGAGCAGGCAGUCAUUUGUCCCCAGAGCACCCCUCAGAGAUGCUACCAGUGGAGGCAAGUGACCUUGUAAGUGUUGGAACCAAGAGUACAAGUCUAGAAGGUGCCACACACAGCUGUCCAUGGCACAUGCCCAGCUCCCAGCUGAGGCUGCAAGCAGCUUCUGCAGAUCUUCCUGCGGGAUCACAGCUUUGGCACCCUGGACACGGAGGUCACAGUGCCUGGUUAUGAAAACUGCUGUUUCAGUAACUACCCAGCAUGGAUGGACACAAACCUCAGCAAUUUUUCAUUCUGGAGAAGCAAAGUCUCUUGCCACAACAUUGGUUAGUGUGAAGCCUGCUGCUCUCGUUUCCUGGCUAUCCAUCUCCCAGGCUACAGCACAGCUGUGGGCUGCUGAAGAUCCCUGAAACCUUUCCUCUUUGGUGGCCUCUUCUAAGGCAAAAAAACCAUGGUCUCCCACCUAGUCCCACCCAGGCCUUUUUUUGGGUCCUUCCUCCACCUCCUUUUUUCAGCACACAGUCUCUCUUUUGCCUGUUAUGCCUUCGCUCAGAUGGCUUCCCCCCUGACCAUUUUGUUGUUGGAAGGGGCAGGGGGUGCAUGGCAGAGACCAGCUUCACACUUGUCAUUUGCCCUUAGCAGCCCCUGGCAGCCAGCAAUAACCAGCACCUGCUCCACUCAGACAUCUCAGGGGAAUUGAGAUGAGAAACUUAGAGCUCUAUCAGGUGCAUGCACACUGGGUUUUCAAGGGCUUGUAGCGGAGCCAAGUUUGAGCACAGUUCUAGAGAGCUGCUGCAAUGUGUCUUCCUAACAGAAAGCUGCCUCCUGCCAAAUUUUGCAUGUAACACUUCAAAGCAUUCAACUGAGAAAGAAAAAUAGCACCAGAACUAUUCCUAAUGGGUUAGGAGAAGGUCAGAUAAACAAUGGAUUUCUAAGAACUAUGUCAGCCAUUAGAAAGGCAUGAAAAAACUCUUGGCUGAAUGUUCCCAAACAAAUUUAGCCUGAAGCCUCACCCCAACUCGGGAACUUUUAGUCUCAGCUGGUUCAUUGUGACUCUCUUGGCCUUCAGAUGGGGAUUUUAAACAUUAGAAGUACUUCUACAGCCUUAAGAUGGACUGUGCUAACAGUUUGUUCCUAAUAAAGCAGCCAGCAGAACUGAAAUAGCCAAGUCCUUCAUAGUUACUGUUACUAUGACUUACUGCCAGCCUUCCCACAUUGCAAAGAAAUCUGUUCUUCAAGCUUUUCUCCCUUACAUUCCCCAAGGCUUCCUACCCAUUUUCCUAUAGCAAUCACACCAGUUCACUUAUCACCAAAGUGAGUUGUGGUUGAACAUUACUUCUUUCACCCAUCCCUGCCCAUGCCAUUAACCCUUGUGCCAUCCCAUCCCCAUUCCUGUCCCUUGCCCUGAAAGAGCAAUGACCCUGAACUUGGCACCAAAAGCAAGGCAUGUCUUGGGCCCCAUCUUUUCCCUCAGAGAGACAACUCUGUGCUGGUGCUGGAAGAUGCCAAAGAGACUGGCUCCAGUCAUGCUGUGAGCAGUUUGACAGAGUUGUGCAGUUGCUGCAAGCACCAACAUCUGGAGGAAUAAAGCAGCCACUGAGAUGAAGUCACCCCUAGAAAAGCCUUGGACAGUAAGGGCUGAAAAAUCCAAAUGAGAAGAGCAGAAUGGCUUAUUUUGACUUGACAUUUCACAGAGCUUGAGAUGAUGCAGGACUGAGCUCACAUGUACACGUAACGCUGCCCAGCAAUGGCUCCACCAGCUCAGCAAGCCCAAAGCUGUGGUUAUCUGCCCUGACCACAGCAUCCUUGGCAUGUUAACGGGGGUUAAGCACAGAGAUCAAAGCAAGCUGGCUUGGUUUUAGUGGCCAAAUUCAGUUCUCUCACAGGCUAAAAUGCUCCCACUGUCACUUCAAUCUGACUUAGCUGAGCAGAGCUCAGCACGUGCAAUUUCUAAGCCCAGUGCAGGGCUGCUUUGCACAGGUUGUGGUUCCAGCACUGGUCCAAGAUGCCUCCUGAAGAUUCCAUUAAACCUCUGAGAUGUAUCUGAGCUCUGGGAAGAUGCCUGCUCAUUUGGAAAGUGACUGGCAGCAGUUGCCUUGACUCACAUUCUCUUGUGAAACUGUCAGAAAAACAUGGCUUACACCCCCGAUACCAUAGGCUGUUGAUUUCUCUCAGCUGCUGGGUUUGGUUUCCUGCUUUUUAAGCUUCUCCAGAGCUGUGAAUAUAUUGCCUUUUUUUUUUUCAUUUUUGAUUUAAUACUGAUACCUUGGGGUUGUUCUUUGCUGUAAUGACAGCAUCCUGGGGAAUUUUGGAAACAGCUACUGGGUAAAACCCUGUUAUUAUUUUUUUUUCCAUAAGAGAUGCACUUAAGUCCAUCCGGAAAAACUUAUCCUACUUUUCUAAAGUGUGAGAUCAACAGACACCUUUGGACAGAAUGGUGGAAUUAAAUCCAUGUUUUGGAAGCCAGCCAGACAAAAGCAUCUUGGUUUAGUUUCUGCCAUUGAUUUGCACUGUGACACUGAGCUAUGGCACUGUUCAGUUAAUAAUAAUUUCAUUUGCUUAUAUUUUUCCUGAACUUCUUGAGUUGGAGAUGCUCUGGUUGUGAUUUGUUCAUAUUUCAAUUGUGUCAUUUAGUACCAGAAUAUAGUAAAUUUUAGCAGCUUUCCUAUCUAUGAAUUUGUAUAUGAAGCCUACAAAUUCAUGGAUGUAAUGGAAAAUGCAGACAGCGAUAGGAAACUUGUUUUGCAAACCAGCAGAUUGAUGCUGGAACACAUUUUCUCGGAGAUCUGGAUCAAUACAGAAUGCAUUUUAAGAUUCUUUUGUCUGUGUUUUCUAUGGCUUCAAUUAGCCUGGCACAAAUAAUUUCCUAUUCCAUGAAUGUGAUCCUGUAAGACUCUUCUAUUUAAAGGUUCUGAAGUUGCCAGGAGAACAAAAUGGACUUGCCAGGGCACAGGGCUGGGCUUUCUCAUGACUGUCUGGGAAAUAUUGAAUACCUGGUCUCAAUAUGAGUAUUUUCUAAUGAAAGAGCACAGUGUAUCCCAGCACUAACUUUCCCACAGCAACGUUCAUGAACCCAACAUGCAGAAGAUGGAAAAAGGCUAACACUUCUACCAGAUACAUUUCUGGGAACAUGGUAAACAGAGAGUGGAUGUUCUGUCAGAUAAUUUUCCUGGGUUUAGGAUUUUCUUUGCACUCAGAUACCAUAAUGAUAAAUGCAACUACAUUUCUCCAAACAUUAGAUUAUAUUGGUGAUUUAUAUGUCCAUCCUCAAAUGGAAAAUGUCACUACUUAGCAAUGCUGAAAAAAUUUGUUACCAGUGAAACUGUUAUUUAAUAAAUCUUUCUUCUGUUUAAACUUUUCAAGGAAAUACUUGAGAAUAGCUUCCAGUAAAUUCUUCUAGUUUUGCUGCUUAUUCAGUGCUUUAUAUAUUAGAAGUAAUGACACUCUGCUUUUAAGAUACUGUUUACCUAAGUAUCACCUGAAGUGUAAUAUAAAUAUAAGGAGUCUGUCUUGCCUCCAAGUGGCUUAAUACAUUAAUUUAGUUUUAAAAAACAUUGCAGUUUGAGAAUAACAUUUUCCUUUCUGUAUCCAUGUGAAUAAACAAAGGAAUGUUACAUGAAAUGUCUUGAGGCAGUUCCAAUAAAAACCCAGCAUGGAAUUUGGGUGCCGAGAUCAAAAGUUCAAAGUCUGGAUGCAUAACUGAUUAUCUGCUUACCAGGUUAGCAUGUACUUGGUUCUCCAUUGUACUUUAAUUCUUUUGGUUUUUACUGUCUCGUAUUCCAGAUACUGUGAAUGUUAAUAUGGACACAGUAAUUUUGAUAAUUAUUUCAUGCUUGGUCUGUUCAGUAUCUAGAGACUAAACUUCACUGUGUUUCACUCUUCAGAGAGGCUUAUUGUGUUAGGAAGUUUCAGACCAUGUGGGAAAUGGAGGCUGAUUUAAAAACCUUGUGAGGAUUGGUAAGAGCUAUUGCUUUUUGAAAAGAAUAUAGAAAGAAGAGGCUCUGCCCCACUUUCUCUGUAAUGCCUGAGCAGAUAGUGAACCUUGCCCCAAGUCAGAAUACAGAGUUGUAAGAAUUGCUCAGCCUGACGGGGAAUCAAACCAGAGCUUCCAUCUGUUGGGACUGUGGCCUAGCUACCAGACCUUGGCUGCACAGUUUAAUAAGAUGCAGGAACUGUGCUUUGGAGGUCGUACCACUGCACAGAAAAGGAAAAGUGCUCCACUGAAAUAGUGACAGAGUGGAUCUGUCUGCAUGGCCCUGCAGUCCCACGGCCUACAUUGGCCUGAUAUUGGGUAAACUGAGUUUGACAAAUGAGGGUUUGUUAUCCAAAGAACCCUUAACAUGGGCUACAGUUGUGCUCUUUCAUGUUCUCCCCGACUGUUCCUGUGACUUUUCAGCUCUGAAAAGAGUGGCAAAGCAAAAUGGUGGAAAAAUGCAACAUCCUUCACAAUAUUGGCACUUGCUGGGGAAUCAAAGCUUCCUUCAAUCAGAAGAGGACCUUGAACCUGUAUAUUCCACUUUGUGGACAGUUUUAGGGGCAUAAAGAGAAGGGGAGAAAACAAUAAAAGAAAAUCUCUCUAAAAGGCAAGAAUAAGCUGUGCUCUUGUAAAGAACUGGGAUAGAAGGAGCCUCUGUUUCCCAGCAGGCAGAGAUAUUUUCUAUCAGGUAUGGGUGAUUCAGUCAAGCUGGGAAACAGCUGCUGGCUGACUGUCAUUUCUUUUUUGCUCUGUAUGCUUCAUGGCUUGGAGUCUCUUCUGAAUUAUGGGACUGCUCCAUGAACCCUGUGUGCCUCAAGUCCACUAGCACAGAAAGUAAAUGUGUGACUUUUAGUUGACUUCUAAGUCAAUUAUUGGAUAUCACUCAGAAACCAUGUACUUGAAAAGGGAGCUAAUUCUUUAUUUCAUCUCUGGUUUUCAGUCCCGGACACAACAUCAGUAGUUACAACUGAAGAAGGUUCCUGCAUUAGUAAAUCUCUAUACAGGUAAAUUUACUUAGGCAAAAAAACACUAAAUACCUUCUCAAGCACCUACUCAAAAUGUAUUAGAAAUUACAAGAAAUUAAAGGUAUGGUAUCAGAAAAAUACUAAUUAAAGCCAGAGAUGCACUUCUUGUUCUUUGUAAAGCUUCUUUUAUAGUUUCUUUCAUUGAUGAACAAGGAGCUUCUGGCAAAAUUCAAAUAUAAAAAGGCAGUUUAUAGAGGGUGGAAGCAGGGAUUGUUAACCUGAGAGGAAUACUAAGUGAUGGUUUGGCAUGCAAAGAUAUGUCUAGGAAAGCCAAAGUCCACUUGUAGUUGAACCUGAGAAAUUAUGUCAAAAGCAGCAAGAUAAAGUUCUUGAGUGCACAAGUAGCAAAAGCAAGAGUAGGGGAAAAGUGAACAUACUGCUGAAUGGACAAGUCAUCCCAUUCACUUUUAUUAUAUGCACUUUGCUUCAGAAUUUUCUCCUUGUUUUUAAGCAUUUAAUUUCUUCCAUUUCUUCUCCUGUGUCUUUGUUUACCUUUCUUCUCUGAUUUUGGGAUUUCAGUGGCAAUAAUUUUGGCAAGUUUCAGUGUUUUCACUGCACCUCAUUUCAUCUCAGUACAUUUGAUUGUAGUCACUCCAUUUGCAAAUUUUCUGGCUUUUUCUCAAUUGCAUUUUAUUUCAUCAUGUCUCAUUUCCAGAGGGUUUGUUAGACUUUGUUCUCUGGUUUCAAGGUUUCAAUGAGGAUCAAUUGGGCAAGCUUUGCUCCAUUUCCCUGCACUUCAGGUCAUCCCAGUCACUUUUUUUGCUUUCAUUUGUUUCAGAAUUUUCUCUCUUUUUUUUAGCAUUUCAUUCCUUCAAUUUCUUCUCCUGUCUCUUUGUUUACCUUUUCCCCUGGAUUUUGGGAAAUGAGGUGCAGUGUAAGAAGCAAAACUUGCCAAAAUUAUACUAAUUGAAAAUUAUACUGAUUGAAAUCCUGAAAUCAGAGAACUGCAUAAAUGGACAGGACAAGGAAGGAUGAGAUGAAAUGCUAAAAAUAAAAGAGAGAAUUCUGAAACAAAGUGAAAACAAUAAAAUGGUCUGGGAUGACACAAAAUGCAUGGAAAUGGCCCAAACCUUGCUGAAUUGCCACUCAUUGACAUCUUGAAAUCAGAGAAGAAAGUGAAACAAUCUGAGUACAGCAGACUUAUAAUAAAUCAAAAAUUCAAUAUAAAGAACUAAAAUUCUGAAAUGAAGUGAUUGUAAUGAAAUGUAAUGAGGUGACAUGAAGUACUUUGCAUGCAUUUGGGAGUUGAAGCAUCCCUGAAGGUCUGGGCUUUGUGGUUCUCACCAGCCUAACCUGAAGCAUAAGCCUAAACCUAAGUGGUUGUGCCUUAGAGGGUAGCACUCCGCUGGCUGCUGGCUCCAUUGCCUCGCUUGCAUGAUGUGUUUAACGGAGCUGUUUACUCAGUUGUGAUAAAGAAUCUACAAACCCUGGUGCAAAGGGCAUUAGAGAGCACUGAUACCAGAAUCAUUAUAAAGCAAAGAUAUAUGUUGGUAAUGAUCUCAAAUAGAGAUUACAAUAGAUAAAGAGCUAACCUGAAGACUCUCUUUUUUCCAGGAAGUGUCUAGUUAGGAUCUUUUUCUUCUGGCAGAGGGAGUUUUUCACAGGAAGCAUUCUACGGCUGUUUCCAUGCCUUGGAAGGAUAGUCAGGGAUGCUGCUUUUUCACAGUUAGGUCCUCAGUUAGGUCAUUUAUGAAUCAAAAAACAAAAAGAGGGGAAGCAAAUCUGGCUAAAAAGAGAGUGACAUUUUUCUCCUGUGCUUUUGUUUCUCAGGAGCAGGCAGAAUAACCUUGGGUGAUUCUGUCUCCUCAUAGGAAAGUCAGAUUUCAGGUUUCAGCAAUAAUUCUCUAUCUUUUCACUCAUUAAUCAUUAAUAUCAGAUGAUAUUAAUGCACUAAAAUGAAACUAUUCAAACAUACAAUUUUGAUGAUCUAAACCCUCUGUUAAUAAUUUCUGAGAGAAUAGUAUGUUUGCUAGAGUACAGAGUUUAUUAUUGUCAUAUAUAAUACAGCGUCAAGCUCUUAUUAACAAUUUUUCAUGGUUUUAUCUGAAAAAACUCUUUCAGGAAAAAACAAUGACUUGAAUACAAGUCAGCAUUUAGAAGUUUUUCUCAGUGUGCUGGAAAUAGAAGAUUGCUGUGUGUUACUAUGACAGUGAAAUGGGGGUUGUUUGUAUUUUAUUUUAGUGUGAUGCUCCCAAUGAUAGUUUAUGCUUCACAAAUCCAAAUGUGCAUUGGAACUCAGAAUGUGUAUUUUGUAUUUCUGUAGGAAUAGAAAACCCUCAAAUAACUUUUGAUUUGAAAUACUGGCGCAGUUGUGCUCACAGAUGAAUUAGUAACAGUGGGAGCAUAUGGAGUGAAAUAGAAAUUAUGGAAGUGCAUGCAAGACCUUACUACUGGGCUUUCAGUUUGUCAGUUGCCUUUGGAGCUCCAUACCAAAUGAUCUGCAGGUUCCUUUUGCCAAAAGUACUUGCUGCACUCUCACAGCAACCGUAUGUAGCAAGCCUGAUUUUCUGUGCUCAUUUGUAAUUGUGUUUUUGUGUCAACAAAAAUACUCACUCUUUUACUCAGGAGGUAUCCACAGGAAGGAGGAAGGAUCAAGGAUGGUGGCUGCAAGGGAAACUGAGAAGGAAAGUAUUUUUGUGAUUUUUAAGCAGACCAAAAGACCAGGUUGAUGCUGAAAGACAUCACAAUGCAAUGAAAGAGGUGAGUGGUAAGGAAGCACCCUGGAAUGUGCUGGGGCCUGCUCCUUUCCUUCUGAUGGCAAAACAGCAAGCUCCUUGACACAACCAGCUUCCUCACCUGCACAGAACCAGCAGCUUCCUAAACCUGCAUCCCAGGUUCCCUGGGAAUGGCUGCGUGGCCCGGCACCUGCAGCUCAGAAUGAGGUGUCCCUGAGAACCAGCAACAUGCAGGGCUGAGCUAGCCAUGAAAAAUGAAUGCUUUUGUGUAAAGGCUGGUCUCUCCUGGGCGUUUGGGUCCGAUCCAGCCAGCUCUGGACCACUGGCCCCCUGCAGCCUUUACAAGGAUAAAAGACACGAGGUGCUCUCCUCCUCGGGACCAAAGUCCUGUUUUACUCCUUGAGAGAAGUCACCUUGGGAUUCAGGCGACGUCCCAGGGAAAAAAGAGAGAGAUGGGCUUUUAAGCUCAGGGGAAGGGGAGCAGAGGAAGGGGGCCACAGACAAUGGGAUACAAGUGAGAAAGGGGUGAGGGGAGAGGUAAGCCUGGGACAAAUCAUUACCACCAGGGCUUAGGCGGGGAUAAGACCAUGUGAUAAGAGAGGAUACAAACGUACUAUUCAUGCAAAUUACCAAACACCAAGUGCAGAAACAACAACUAGAUAAACUAUUUAAUGCAUUACAACACUUUUGAGGUAAUAACACUUUAAAACUUUCUGUUGGGUUGCUUAAAAAAACCCCACAAAACGGUGAAAAUUUUCAAAGCCAUGCCACAGAUGGAGAUGACAAACCUUCGUUCUCCUAUGGGCUGAGCACAGGCACUGUGUAUGUGAGUUAAAGCCUUUCUGCAGGUCUUAUUUGUGCUACUCCAGGAUAAAACAUAUUGGCUUAGAUCCAGAAAGAGGGAAAGGCCUCAUAAAACUCCUCAAUUGCUUUAUUUACUUAAUGACACUUUACUGCCUAGUUCAAAAUCAAAAGCUUUUUGAUUUGUGUUCACUUUGUUUGGACCAAAAGCCUAAUACCUGGGAUAACCUUUGCACUCAGAAUUAAAAAUCAGCAACUAUUUCUAACCCGUUUUCUUGUGCAAGUCUUUUGAUAGUGAAGGGCACCUCCUGUGCUGACAGCCUUGUGGCAGACAGAUCCCACCACCUGCAUGCACCUGUGGAAACAGAAUCCACAUGGGUUCCUACAGGCACACCUUUUUGCUUGUGCUGCUGGAGGGAACAGCAGUAGAGGGGAAAGCUGCCAACCUGGCCAAGCUGACUUCCAUGGUCCCUGCUGUGUCAGAGCCGGCACUGGUCUCGCUGUGCUCCCCCGGCUGGCUGCUCUCCGAAGGCGGCUUCAGAGACCCUCAGGUCAGAGGUGUCCCCUCAGCGUCACACAGCGCUGCAAUUUCCAGCCAGAAGCACAACGGGAAUGGAAAGGCUGCAGAUCACACAACACGCCAAAUAACAACAAAAUUUGCCACCAAAAAGCAUUCAAAGUGCGAAUGCAUCCACACCUCUAAUUUGUUGCUGAGGGCCGAUGAAAACAAGCCUCAAGGCCUCUCUCUCCCCACGGGGGCGGCCGGCGGGCAGCAGCGCUGCCAUCCCUGCCGGAAAGGCAGGUUGGAAAAACCUCUGAGAGAGAAACUUUCAUCUCCUGCCUCUCUGCACCGACUCUGCCCUACACACUACAAAGGAUGGUUUCUCACAAGCCACUAAAUCAGGGGGUGCACGCAAAAACUUUCGUGAAACGCCGCUACACUUUCCCUGAGAGGCGGUGGAGGAGGCAGCGGGCUCGGCGGGAGCGGGGCGAGGCCUUUGUGUCACCUCCAGCUGCCUUUGUGUCACCUCCAGCUGCCUUUGUGUCACCUCCAGCGGCUACAGACGGCCCCUGGCCGUCCCCAGCUCCCCGGCCUCUGUCCCCAGGGAAGGCGGGCAGGGUUUUGCUGGAGAACGAAUUUGCAGCCUUAAGGUGGCAGCAGCAGACAGCGCUCAGGGCCGCGUCCGCAGCUCCGGGCCCGCCAGGAGCUCGGCAAGGACAGAACCACCGAGGGCUGCGAGGCGGCAGCGACUGAGGAAGGGGAGCAGGGAGGCAGAGCAGGGUGCGAAAGCUCGGGGCUGUAAGAAGGAGAAAAGGGUUUCGACCCGGCUUCUCUUAAGCAGGAUAGGCUUGGCUGGAGUCAGGAUGAAGACCUUGGUCUUCACCUCAACAUCAGGUUUGAAGGAAAGUAGGAAAAAAGCAAGCAGGGAACUAGCAGGGAAUUGCAGUUAGAAGGAAAGCUUUGAAGACUCGAGUCUUUGACGCUCUGGUAGCUCUUUCCGAAAGGAAGGCAGGCAGUGAUCUACACCCCCUGUCCUGGCUGUGGAGGAGGGAUUGGAUUGAGGCACAGCUCCCUGCAGGAACUGGAUCCAGAAUAAACACUCAGUGCUGCCCCAAUUCCCCAAGCUACUCUGGACAGUUGCACCAAAGCCCUGCAGGUGUGCUGGAUUUUGGGAUUAAAACUACUGCUAAAUAUUUUCAGGGAUUCAAGCAGCCUGAUGUCAUGUCCUAACCUGUCAUACCACCAUGAACUGCUGAUUUUAUAGGCAGGGUGGAGUCAGAUUCUUCUCCAAAGGGCACAGUGACAGGGCAAGAGGCAAAUCACAAGCUGCAACAAUCAGAACUGUGACUAGACACAAAAAAUUGCUGCUCCAAGAGGACAGCUCAGCAUUGGAACACAGGCCCAGAGAUAGUGUGGAGUCUACCCUGAAGGUUUUCAAAACUUGACUCUCCAAAGCCUUAGUAGGCUGGUAUAGUUCUGAGGCUGACCUUCACAGAGCCAUCAGGUUGGACCAAAGACCCUGAAAGGUGCCUUCCAGUCUGUUCUGUAACUGGAUUUCUGGAGAGCUUUAAAAGAGGAAUGGAGAUGACAAGGAAAUAUUUAAUGUGUGUCCCGUUUGUAAUAGUCAUGGCUGCUGGAUGGGAUUCCUGAUCACAGUUUGAAUUCUUAUUUAAUUUUUUUUUUUUUUUUAAUCUAGAGCAGGUAUGGCUUUGCAAACACUGCAGAAAAUUUCUUCAGUUUUGGAAAAGAAAAAAACAAAGCUGGUCAGUGAACAUUUUUUCUCCACUUCUGAACCCUUAUGUAUUUCCAGACAUAUGUACAGGCUUACAUAUCAAAAAGUUAAGGACAGAUGCUCUUAAAAACUACAAAAUGGUAUAUCCUUAAUGAACCUAGUGAAAACACGGGUAGGCCAAAAAAGGGCUGUGGCUUUCUUGUAGGGGGGUGUGGCUAACAGACAUGAAGAGGCUGCUCAGACGAGCCCCUGACUUGUUCCUCCUCCUGCACUGUAAGGAACAAGAAGUUCCACCAAGCCCUGCACUGCACACUUAGCUGCAGACUGGGAAAGGUUGCUCAGGUUUUUCAUCAGCUACUCCUAAAGUCCAAGUAAGUCAAAUAAAUAUUAAAAAUAAAGGGCAAAUAUCAUUCCUCUCUCUCUCUCUCUCUGCAAAAAUGGUAAAUACAGGUUGCAAAGACUUCUGGUGUCUGUCUCAAGCAGCUCUUUCAAAGAGGUCAAAUGAAACCCUAGAAAAUGAACAUCAGCUGUUGUAUUCCAGUUUCUGUGGCAUGCCACUGACUGGAGGUAGAACCUCAUAUUGGUGCAUUUAUGAAGAGGGACCACCCAACCCUGGUGACAUGGCCAACAGUCCCCCUUGAAGCACAACAAAGACCAUCCCCUAUUUGGAACAACCAUUUGGAUGCAAAAAGGAUUUUCUACGUUAAAGGGUGAAUUUCAGGGCCUGUUGCUCUGUGGUCUAACAAAUGGCACAGAAGGGAUUUGGUAAAGUGCCUACCUGGACUGCUCUUCCAAAACUCACAGAGCUCCCCACAGAAAAGGUCAUUAGCAACAGCCACCUCCACCAGUGAGGCCCUCAAGUGCCUUUCCAGUGAUCCCAGGGCUCCUCUCAUGGCAUAGCAUUCCCUAGAAGCAGCCUCAGGAAAAAACCUUCCCAGACUUCUACUGACCUGUUAUUUCUCCAUGACUCUUGCACAUGACUGGGCCAUGCUCAGCUCAGGGGUGAAUCCAUCCAAGGUGGGUGGUGGGCAGUGGUUGGGGCCAAAGGGCCAUGCUCCAAAGCAGAAUUUUCCCCAGUUACUGGCAGUCUUACAGUCACUGCUGCUGAUUAGCAGUGUUCCUAAUAAUAAUUUGUACAUCUUCUGAUCCAUUACUCUUCUAGACAGCAACAAGUCUGCACAGUUAAAAAGAUGCACCUUCUUUCCCUCUUCUGAAGCAGCAGACCAUAAACUUGGUGUUUGCUAAGUCCAUCUUUCACAUCUGUCAUAAGGAAUGUUUACACUUCUGCUGUAACAGCAUCUUUUCCAAGUCUUUGGUGUUCCUGUGGCAACGUGAAGCUGCUGAUUUUAGUAGAAAUGAAUGGUGCAGCUGGAGUCAGUUAUGAGGCCUGCAAACCUUGCUGUCCUCUUUAAGGCUGCAAAUGCCCACUUGCAUCUCACAGUUCUGGAAGCUGUUUCUUCUCCUGGCACACUUUCCUGUCAUGUAAAGCCAAGAAUGAUUCCCACUUGGAGCAGAGUCAAACACAACCCUGGAAACCUGCUUAGAAGCUACAAAAUUGGGCCAUUUUGUAUGGCCUCUGCUUUUGGUUGCAGGAAAAGUCUCUAUCAGCAGUAUUUAUUUUACUGGCUUAUUUUCUUGCAGAGUGCAGCUCUUUGGCUUCAUUCCCAAAUGGGCAGUUGUAUUUUUGCCAUCUGUCACCUGUACAGGUAGUGGUUCCUCCUCAGAAGUUUCAGCCACAACAGGACACCAGGCGAACAGCGAGACUGCAACAUCCACUUUAUACAGUGACUUCCUCACCUUGGUUUCCAAAGCAGCAAAGUAUUACAAAACCCAGGAGUGUAACAUUAAAUUGGUCCUUGUUCUGCUUACAACACGGUGCUUUCUUGCCUCUUUGAAAUCCAUUGCCACCUGCCAGUUCUGAAUUUCACAGUACAACACUAAUUUGUUUGCUCGUCUGUAUUUCUUCUGACUACAAAUGUGAACUGUGAGAUCUGUCUUGCAUGCAAGUUACUUCGAAUCCAAGGUCAUGAAAAUUGCACAAGAAGAAGUAGAUAUUGUUAUGCCCCAUAAUCCAGGUUGUUGUAAUUCCAACAGCCUUCAAAGUAAUGUCCUCAAAAUAAUCUACAAUUUGUAAGGAUCUAAUAAUUCCAUUUCUCUUCUGAGAGGAAACCUGUUUCCAGUGGGCAAGAACUUGGGUGAAAGUCCAAUUAAGUUUUUAUCAUACAAAUGCUGUGAAGUGUACAGACUCUCAUUUUUUAAUAAAACCAUGAGAAGUGGUGACAUUU